UGCAAGUCGGACGAACUUAAUCGUUAGUUUACUAAUGAAGCGGUUAGUGGCGGACUGGUGAGUAACACGUAAGCAACCUGCCUAUUAGAGGGGAACAACAGUUAGAAAUGACUGCUAAUACCGCAUAUGCCAUAAGUAUCGCAUGAUACAAGUGGGAAAGGAGCAAUCCGCUAAUAGAUGGGCUUGCGUCUGAUUAGAUAGUUGGUGGGGUAACGGCCUACCAAGUCGACGAUCAGUAGCCGAGUUGAGAGACUCUACGGCCACAUUGGGACUGAGAUACGGCCCAGACUCCUACGGGAGGCAGCAGUCGGGAAUAUUGCGCAAUGGAGGAAACUCUGACGCAGUGACGCCGCGUGCAGGAAGAAGGUUUUCGGAUUGUAAACUGCUUUAGACAGGGAAGAAAAAGACAGUACCUGUAGAAUAAGCUCCGGCUAACUACGUGCCAGCAGCCGCGGUAAUACGUAGGGAGCAAGCGUUAUCCGGAUUUAUUGGGUGUAAAGGGUGCGUAGACGGGAAAAUAAGUUAGUUGUGAAAUCCCCAUGCUUAACAUGGGAACUGCAACUAAAACUGUUUUUCUUGAGUGCUGGAGAGGAAAGUGGAAUUCCUAGUGUAGCGGUGAAAUGCGUAGAUAUUAGGAGGAACACCAGUGGCGAAGGCGACUUUCUGGACAGUAACUGACGUUGAGGCACGAAAGUGUGGGGAGCAAACAGGAUUAGAUACCCUGGUAGUCCACACCGUAAACGAUGGAUACUAGGUGUAGGGUGUGAUAAACGCUCUGUGCCGUCGCAAACGCAGUAAGUAUCCCACCUGGGGAGUACGGCCGCA
rnacentral:rRNA from 1 species